rnacentral:siRNA from 1 species
AGGUCUAUGUUGACACGUUGGUUC